AGAACUCAGAUCCAUACAUACGCACACCACUGCCCUCAUCUCCCUUACUUCUCCUUCAUAUGAAAACCCUAAUCCUCUAACAUCUUCACUCACUCUAAACACAGACAAGAGAUUCCUCUCUACCUCGCAUCCACUCCAUUCCACUGUUAAAGUUCAGGCGAUCGGAAUUAAUGGCGGAGGCACUCUGGCGUUGAGACACCCAACGACAAACAACCCCCCCCCCCUUCUUCGUCGUGUUUCUGACAACCACAACCACACCCCGGUUCCCUGUUUUUCCGGUGAUAGAUCGAAGAAAAAGAGAGAACGGCGAGGAGAGAGAGUGUGUCGGUGAGCAGAGAGACAGACGGAGCAGAGGAGACGGCGGCAUCACCGCCGUACAUGGUGGCGGUGACUGUUUUCCGGCGACCGGCGAUGGCUGCGGAGUCCGGCGGCAGAGAUGGUAGUUCAGCAGAGUUCAUGUUCAAGUCAGGAAAUCAAAAGUCGCGUACUCGCGUGGAUCUUUGCUUUGCACCAGGCCACCAGGGAUCUGAUCAAAGUCAUCAAAUCAAACGCUGCAGGAUUUCUGAUCAAACUCAUCAAACGCUGCACCAGGCCACCGGACAUCCGCAAUUCCGCAUUCCGCAGAUUCGCGAAUCGCGAUUCAGGAGAGGUUAAUUAAAGUGCGAGAGGUAAAAUAUGCAGAUGAAGAUUUAUGUUACUACAUACUGUAUUAUAUCAUCAAGUGGAAAUUUACAUGUAAAGUUGGAUUAUUUUACAAUAAGGGAUUACUUCAUUUUCCACCAACGGUCUACUAUCCUAAUUCUUUUUGCUUGGGGUAUGCUUUAUAUUUAUACAUUUAUGCUACUGAUUGAUAAUUAGAUUGAUGAGUUUUUAGUUAUAUAAUUGAAUGAUUGAUGAGUUUAUGUUAUAUAAAGAUUUGCGAAUAGGGCCCAAAUUUUUUAUCUCGAACAGGGCCAAAAUUUUUUUUGGGAUUUUCGUAGACGGCCCUGAGCAGUUGUUAACAUAUUGAUAGCAGUUUCAUUAGCAGACAUAUUCUCCAACUUCACACAAUUUGCUUUAACCUUUAAAGCACCAAGAGCUACAGAUGUGCCACUUAUAUCUUCAGGCUCAUUACGUUUCCUACUAUACGUCACACACUUGUGUACAUCCAGUUUACUAUCAUUACUCUCACUUUGAUGCAAGUCAGCAACCGUCAACGAUGCAGCAGGCAGGCAAUUCACGUAUGCUUUCGCAUUAGCAUCUUGCGCAACACUUGCAGUCCCUUAUGAGGAUGAAGCGUUGUUAAGCGACGGCGACGAAUCCAUGAAUACGAUCCUCCUUUUCGUGAUCGGUAAAUGUUUGGCCGAGGCUUCCAUCUGCAGUUCACCGAAACCGAAACCGAAUCAUAAUUAAACUUUUCAAGCCAAAACAAUCAACAUAAACAAUCCUUAUCAAAACAAGGUUAAGUUCUUCACCUUAUCAGAUUCCAAAACAAGCGGUUUCAACCCGUUUGAAUCCAUAGCAAGUAACCGUUUCAAAUCACGAAUCAAGAAGUGGGUUCAAAUCCCCAACUCAACUAACCUGAUGAUUGACGGUGGUAGCGCCGCUGAAGUCGAAAAACUGGGCGAAACUGCAGAUGACGCCGGCGUCGCUAAUGUUGUCUUCAGUUCUUCACCAACCCUAGAGAGAACCCGUUCACAAUUCUCAACCCUAGAGAACCCGUACCUUCAGAAUGCUCAACCCGUAAUGACCCGUGGAAUACUUCUUUGUUUUUUUAAUUAACCCAUUUUGACCCUUUGACUUAAAUUACUUUACCCAAACCCACCCAUAAUAUCUUAUAAAUAACCCAAAAUGACCCAUAUCAAAGACUUUGGGUCAGAAUUGCCCCCUCUAGGCUCGGACAUCUGUUCGGGUGACGUUCGGUCAGAUCUGUUCAGGUCGGGUCGGGUUGAGCGGCACAACCCGACUAGGGUCAACUUAAGGGCGCUUCGGGUUGGUUUGGUUUGAGAUAAGUCACGGUCAAAAUGUUCGGAUCAGCUGCAAUCAGGGGUGGAGACGCGGGUUCGAGUCAGCGGGUCAGACCCCGGUCAACAACAGGUCAAACCGAGUUGACACGGUCAACACCAGAGUCGACUCAGGUCAACAAGACGGUCAACUGAGGUCGACUCAGUCAACGUAAGCUCGGAAUGUCGUAGUUGCACGCUAGCUAAAUACACAUUCUUGGAACAACACUACGGAAUCACGCUAGGCUAGCUUUGCCCAGGAAUGUCAAGGUUACAUUGUCAAAACUACGGAACGGUUGGAAUAGAAGAACCCACGGGAUUUCGAGUAAUUAGCGGGCGUUCAUUUUUUAGAAGUCUUAGCUUUUUGCUUCCGCUGUGCAAUGAAGAUACCGGUCCAGUCACGCCAGCUCUGAUAUUUCGGGGUGUGACAUAACAUGGAUGAGCAAAUGGUAUUGAAUUUUUUGAACAGAUAAUUUUUGGUACCGAUUCCAUACUGACUUUUGACAUUUUCGUUACCAGUUCAGUACCGGUAUUUGCCUUCAAAUACCGGUACCAUACCAGGUAUUUUUGGUACCGAUACCCACUUUUAAAGAUUUUUUAUACUAAUAUCGGUUUGGUACUGGUUGUCUAAUACCUGACGGGUAAUUAUCCGACUUAUACCUUAUACCUGAUGAAUAUUAAACCGUACAUGAGACACAAUUUUACAACCGGGUAUAAGUCUCUGAUUACUAGUACCCAUUGAUUAAGACUGAUCCAAUGGGUGAAAAUGAAAGUUUGACCGGUGUAGAAGACAAAUAAUGAAUGAGAGUGCUUUUUCAAGGGUACAUCAUACCCGUAGAUUAAACAAUCAUGAAACUGAUCGAAUGGGUGAAAAUGAAUGUUUGACUGAUGUAGAAGGCAAAUAAUGAAUGAGAGUGCUUUUUCAAGGGUACAACAGACCCUUAUUUGGUGAGUACAAUUCUUGUUCUUUGUUGUUUGCCUUUUCAGGCUUGACCUUUGACUAGAAAUUUAGAAAUUUUGCUUUAGAGAGAAAGAGAAGAGCUAGCAAUCAGUUUAAAAAGGACAUCUGUUUCCUCCUCCAUUUGUUAAUGUUUAAUUUGUUUUUCUUUUAAGAAAAAGUGUUGUGAGUUUGGGAGCGAUGAGCGAAGACGGAAUUUGGGUCAUGCUUUUGAUACCUUGCUAUAUUGAGGAUAAUGGUAACACAUACGGCGUGUUUCUAAGCUUUAAACGGGGAAGUACUGGAAACGAGCACACUCUAGCCUGUACCAGCUGAAGGCCUUCCAACAGGAUGGUUGUUGCGAAAAAAAAUACGCAGCCAAGGACUGGGCUACAACAAGUACUAUAUUCAACCUGGAACCGGCAAAGUGUUCAAAUCAAGAAAGGAGGUUGAGAGAUUUUUUGAGCAGCAGGAUGAUCAGAUUGACGCUUACGGAGAAAAAAUGGAAGAUCUUCGAAGACAACUGCAGGACGCUCUCAAUGAAAAAAAUAAAUUUGAGACUCAACAUAAAUAACAAUUGCUGUUGAACAACCAACUCAUGAAACAGAUGGAGGAGCUGACCUGUGAAAAGGAGAGGAGACAGGAUCUAAAAGAAAGAGUUAAAAACUUCAGUAUUGCCUACGCUAAACGCCAGGAGUCUAUUAAGUCGUUCGUAGAGAACUACAAAUCUAAACUAGACCACUUUAAAGCUCAAACACCACCCCCAUCAACCUCCCUCGUCGGUACAAGCCACCACAUCUAGUUAUCUUCAUUGGGCAAAAUCACCAUCAUCACCUCUGAAAUCAAGCAUCCAGAUCAAAUCAUUAAGAUUGAUGGUGAAGUUCGGUGGGUUGAGCGUAUUCAUAAAGAUUGCUUUUGGUAUCAGUGUUCUUUAUUGGGAGAUGCUCGAGGUUGGGUUCUACAGCCUUCAGCUCCACAUUAUACAGUAAUGAGUACAUGAAAGUAAUCAUAUAACUCGUAGUGAAACCAAAAAGUCAAUGUGAAACCUUAAAUUCUUGGUCUAUACUAUUUUUCAAAUUGAACAAUGAUAUCUGUUUUUGUAAUAUACUAGUGGGUUGCCACCUGCACUCUGCAA